rnacentral:rRNA from 1 species
AGCGAACGUUAGCGGCGGGCCUAACACAUGCAAGUCGAACGCGAAAGGUCUUCGGACUGAGUAGAGUGGCGGACGGGUGAGUAACGCGUGGGAAUCUACCCUAGAGCGGGGGACAACCCGGGGAAACCCGGGCUAAUACCGCAUACGUCCUACGGGAGAAAGAAGGGCCUCUGCUUGCAAGCUCUCACUCCAGGAUGAGCCCACGUCCGAUUAGCUAGUUGGUAGGGUAAAGGCCUACCAAGGCCACGAUCGGUAGCUGGUCUGAGAGGAUGAUCAGCCACACUGGGACUGAGACACGGCCCAGACUCCUACGGGAGGCAGCAGUGGGGAAUAUUGGACAAUGGGCGCAAGCCUGAUCCAGCAAUGCCGCGUGUGUGAAGAAGGCCUGCGGGUUGUAAAAGCACUUUC